AUGAAUCCCAGAAAGGGGGAAAAGGGGGAAAACCCCAAAUCUGGGACAGCCUCACAUCUCAGCCUCAGCCUUGGAAAGGGGGAAAAUCCCAAAUUUGGGACAGCCUCACAUCUCAGCCUCAGCCUUGGAAAGGGGGUAACCCCAAAUCUGGGACAGCCUCACAUCUCAGCCCCAGCCUUGGAAAGGGGGAAAAUCCCAAAUCUGGGACAGCCUGACAUCUCAGCCUCAGCCUUGGAAAGGGGGAAAACCCCAAAUCUGGGAGAGCCUCACAUCUCAGCCCCAGCCUUGGAAAGGGGGAAAAUCCCAAAUCUGGGACAGCCUCACAUCUCAGCCUCAGCCUUGAAAAGGGGGAAAAUCCCAAAUCUGGGACAGCCUCACAUCUCAGCCUCAGCCUUGAAAAGGGGGAAAAUCCCAAAUCUGGGACAGCCUCACAUCUCAGCCUCAGCCUUGAAAAGGGGGAAAAUCCCAAAUCUGGGACAGCCUCACAUCUCAGCCUCAGCCUUGAAAAGGGGGAAAAUCCCAAAUCUGGGACAGCCUCACAUCUCAGCCCCAGCCCCCACAGCAGCACAGGGACAAGGGAGAGCAAAAUCCUCAAGGAUCUCAGAUAUUCUUUGGGAUGGAUCGUUCAGCAGCUGCCACUGCCAGCAUUAAUUAUGGGAUGCACAGGUAGAAGCACGCUCCAGACAGCAUCUGCUUCCAAGGACACGAGGAGCACACGGACUGCAGGGAGGAGAGGGGAUGAGAGCUGCCUGCUGUGACUCAACGUCAGGUGCUGCCAGGUACCUGCCAGCAUCCCAGCACAGGGAUCAGCGAGGACACAGAGCACUCAGACAGAGCCACACAGACCUGCAAGGACCUUCCCGAGUCCUCCAUGCCCACACUGAUCCUGUGCUUUCCUCAGCACGUGCGCCGAGGUGACGCUUCCCAGGCAGUAGAAAGGAUUUUAAUUCCACUUUCUGCUUUAAAAAGGGCCUUUCCAUUCUAAGCUGGCUCAGUUAUGGUGGCAACCACCCCCUGUCUGUCUGUCCUGGGGGGUCCAGCCUGGCCUGUGACCCCUGCCCCUCUCCUGGUGUGGUUUGACAUGAACCAGAUCUGCCAAUGGCUCAGGACAGACACGUGGGCAGCGGCGAGCAGGGAAAACGUAGCACGCUCCAUUCAGCUCCAACCCCUGAUAAAUAAUUCAGGAAGAGAAAUGCCGCAAUACAGAGCCCAGCAAGAUUUAAAAAUAGACCGUGCACUGCUCCAGAGGAAUGGAGGGAAGCUGAGGGGUGGCAGGAAUGGGAGCACGAGGUGCCAGCAGCCUGGGAUUGCUCCUCACCCCAGCACAGGUUCCCUUUUAACUGGGAAUUUAAGCCAAUUAUUGUUAACACAGCAGCAGCAUUGCAGGCUGGAUCCUGUCCUGGAUCAGAGCCUGCCAAGGAGGCAGAAUCCCAAAAAAUGAGCCCCAGGAAGGAUGGAGGUGGGUACCACCCCAAAUGCAGCUGCCAGCAAGCCCAGGCACUUCCAUUCACACAACUAUCCCAACCCCAAAUCACAUCUAAACACAGACAGGAUACAAAAAAAAAAUACAAAUCCACAAUAUAUUUAUCAAAACCAUUCAAAUAUCAUCACACAAACACCACUCCCAGUCAGGCAACAAGCAGAAAAUUGUUGUCUCAGGAUUCCAUCACCCUUCCUGCAUCCUAAAAAAACCCCAACCCAACUUUGUGGUACCCUAAAAUAUCCAACUCUCUGAACAGCGUAGGUGUCACCUGUAUUUUAGUGGUGGGGAUUAGAACACAGAAAGGAUGUGGGAAGGUCAUUACCAGCUCCUUUCACCUGCACCAAACCCUUCUCAUUCCCUAUUAAUUAUUAAUUAGCCUCAGUCAAAGGUAGAGCCCCUUUGUCCCAGUUUGCCACUGGGAUGCUCUAAAGGAAAAAAUGGGUUUUCCAGGUUCUGCAGGAAUACUUUGCCAGAUGGCUGCCUUCUCCCCUCCUCUCUCAGCUUCAAAAAUAGCUCCAGAAAGACACAGAUUUUUCCCUGCUUCCUCGUGAGCAAUGAUCCCAGCUUCCCAAAAAAAUUGUGAGAUGGGAAACUGCCAUAAUAAGAAAAUACAGACUGAGUUUUUGUAAGGAAAAAUAAAAUUUUAUCACCUGUAGGUAAUUAAAAACUUAAUAACUCUGGACUUACAGGCUUUCCAUAAAUAUUUUUGAGUUUUCCCAACAAACAUGGAAAUAAAUACAGGGAAGACAUGGCAGCAGUUACUGUGAGGAGACUCUGACAGGACACCAAAACUCCCAAAAAAGCUGCUGGUCAGUGAGGAGAUGGGGGAGAAGCUCCCAACGCUCCCACUAGUGGCAAGACAAGACUCCUGCAAUCCAGAAUCCACACAAAAUCCAUCCCCAGCCUGCUCAGAACCUGGGAAUACCCAAAAGGAUGGCAGGGGGGUGGAAUGAGAUGAGCUUUAAGGCCCCUCCCAAGCCAAAACGUCCAAAAUUCCAAAAUUCUCUGGUAAAAUGGAGUUGUUCUCGCCGGCCCAGCAAAUCUGCUGCUGAAUUCCCAGUCACAUCCCAAUAGGAAUUUAGGAUUUUUCCUUGCUCUGGGAAGCUCUGUGCUGUUGGGAUCGCCCUCAGUGUGAAGGGUUCAUGUGCCAAGGAAAACAACUCCCAAAAAUCCCAUUUCCCUGUCUGAAACCAACCUGGGGGAGAGCUGGGAGAAGACAACCCCAACAUUUUGGGAUACAGAUAUAUUGAAAUGGAGAGAGCAGGCUGAGGCUGGAGAAACCACCUCAGCAUUCCCCACAUUCUGGAUCUUCCUUUUCCAUCCAUCCAGGGUCAAACCCCAACAGGAUUGGGCUCAAAGCUCCUGGUUCUUUGAACACAGGGAAGCAAAAGCAGCACAAGAUCCCAUUUCCUCGUGGAAUUUCCAGCCUGAAGCCUCCCCAAGAGGGGUCAGCUUCCAGGAUAACACCUUCCCAAACAAAGUGGAUUUUUGUGUCUAAACUCAGCUCAGGAGAAAUUAAUUCCUCAAAGGAAAAAAAAAUAAAAAAUAAAGGUGUCAAAGCAAGAGGAAAAAUUUAAAAACUUCAUUAAAAAAAAAAAAAAA
rnacentral:lncRNA from 1 species